ACUCCCAAAAAAAAAAACUAACGAUAAGUUGAACUUCAAAUUCCCGCCCUAUGUACAGACCCGCUAACCUGUGCCAAAAAAAAACCCUAUCGAUACUUAUUAAUAUCGAUGGUUCAGCCCAGGAACAGCUGUGCUAGACCGAGACCAUUCACAAUGGACUCCCUGCCUAUUGAUAACUUAUUUGCUGCUACGCAAAUAAAUAAAUAAAAGACUCAAUAACCAGACAUGUAAGGGUGAGAUGGGGAUCCUCAGUAUGACGCUGCACCACGGCACGCUGUCACUGCAGAAGGUGCCUACUAAAACUCAAAUCCUGCUUGGGCUAUGGCGAAUUGCUGCUCCCAUGCUCUGCUACGUAGGGCAACGAUGCUCCUUCCGCUUGGGACAGGACAUGGACCUACUACGCAACCAUACAUAAGAAAUACCAAAUAACCACAAAAAAAAAGACAUUACUCUCGAUCUUUUCAGCCUCGGAACACCCUGUAGGGCAACAAUGAGUGGGCACCAAGACCCCUCACGGACCUGCUACACUCGCUCCUUCGCUGCACCUAUUCUGCUGGUUACCAGGGCUCAGGGGCCGCCAGCAGCUAUCGCUGUGGAAAGUUACAUUGAAACACUAAAUAAAGAACAAACAAUAUCAAUAACAAAACUGCACCGCUCAAUACACCUUACACAUUUCUGCAAUUGUACAGAACCAAAUUAAAUAAAAAUAUCUCAUACUUGAAAA